GACGAACGCUGGCGGCGUGCCUAAUACAUGCAAGUAGAACGCACAGUUUAUACCGUAGCUUGCUACACCAUAGACUGUGAGUUGCGAACGGGUGAGUAACGCGUAGGUAACCUGCCUGGUAGCGGGGGAUAACUAUUGGAAACGAUAGCUAAUACCGCAUAAUAUUAAUUAUUGCAUGAUAAUUGAUUGAAAGGUGCAAUUGCACCACUACCAGAUGGACCUGCGUUGUAUUAGCUAGUAGGUGAGGUAACGGCUCACCUAGGCGACGAUACAUAGCCGACCUGAGAGGGUGAUCGGCCACACUGGGACUGAGACACGGCCCAGACUCCUACGGGAGGCAGCAGUAGGGAAUCUUCGGCAAUGGACGAAAGUCUGACCGAGCAACGCCGCGUGAGUGAAGAAGGUUUUCGGAUCGUAAAGCUCUGUUGUAAGAGAAGAACGGGUGUGAGAGUGGAAAGU
rnacentral:rRNA from 1 species